GACGAACGCUGGCGGCGUGCCUAAUACAUGCAAGUCGAACGCAGUGGGGACGGGUGAGUAACACGUGGGUAACCUCCCAUCAGAGGGGAUAACACUUGGAAACAGGUGCUAAACCGAUACUGAUGGAUGGACUCGCGGUGGAUAAGCUAGAUGGUGAGGUAACGGCUCACCAAGGCGACGAUGCAUAGCCGGCCUGAGAGGGUGACCGGCCACACUGGGACUGAGACACGGCCCAGACUCCUACGGGAGGCAGCAGUAGGGAAUCUUCGGCAAUGGAGGAAAGUCUGACGCAGCAACGCCGCGUGAGUGAAGAAGGUUUUCGGGUCGUAAAGCUCUGUUGUUAGAGAAGCGGUAUCUAAACAGAAAGCAACGGCUAACUACGUGCCAGCAGCCGCGGUAAUUC
rnacentral:rRNA from 1 species